rnacentral:lncRNA from 10 species
CAUCAGAAGAAACAGGUUAAAGAAUUAGAUGUGGUCCUCACAGGGAAUAUUUGCCCCUGGCCGCAGAUACAAAGGAUGCAUUUCAAGCUCUCCCAAGAACUCUUGCAGUGCUCCAUCCCUGUGUCCUCAGAAAUGGCCCUGAGUCUCAGCAGCUCAAAAAGACUCCAGUUGGAUAGUGAGAAGCCACUGCUUCCUUGCAAGAACCUUCCCAAAUUUCUCUAAGUAAUUUUCUUGAUAUCUCCUCCUACCUACCCUGGAAUAAUGGCAACACCUGCAUAGGGAAGAAAAGAGAAAAGACCAAAG